rnacentral:rRNA from 1 species
GAUGAACGCUGGCGGCGUGCCUAAUACAUGCAAGUCGAGCGAACGGACGAGAAGCUUGCUUCUCUGAUGUUAGCGGCGGACGGGUGAGUAACACGUGGAUAACCUACCUAUAAGACUGGGAUAACUUCGGGAAACCGGGGCUAAUACCGGAUAAUAUUUUGAACCGCAUGGUUCAAAAGUGAAAGACGGUCUUGCUGUCACUUAUAGAUGGAUCCGCGCUGCAUUAGCUAGUUGGUAAGGUAACGGCUUACCAAGGCAACGAUGCAUAGCCGACCUGAGAGGGUGAUCGGCCACACUGGAACUGAGACACGGUCCAGACUCCUACGGGAGGCAGCAGUAGGGAAUCUUCCGCAAUGGGCGAAAGCCUGACGGAGCAACGCCGCGUGAGUGAUGAAGGUCUUCGGAUCGUAAAACUCUGUUAUUAGGGAAGAACAUAUGUGUAAGUAACUGUGCACAUCUUGACGGUACCUAAUCAGAAAGCCACGGCUAACUACGUGCCAGCAGCCGCGGUAAUACGUAGGUGGCAAGCGUUAUCCGGAAUUAUUGGGCGUAAAGCGCGCGUAGGCGGUUUUUUAAGUCUGAUGUGAAAGCCCUCGGCUCAACCGUGGAGGGUCAUUGGAAACUGGAAAACUUGAGUGCGGAAGAGGAAAGUGGAAUUCCAUGUGUAGCGGUGAAAUGCUCAGAGAUAUGGAGGAACACCAGUGGCGAAGGCGACUUUCUGGUCUGUAACUGACGCUGAUGUGCGAAAGCGUGGGGAUCAAACAGGAUUAGAUACCCUGGUAGUCCACGCCGUAAACGAUGAGUGCUAAGUGUUAGGGGGUUUCCGCCCCUUAGUGCUGCAGCUAACGCAUUAAGCACUCCGCCUGGGGAGUACGACCGCAAGGUUGAAACUCAAAGGAAUUGACGGGGACCCGCACAAGCGGUGGAGCAUGUGGUUUAAUUCGAAGCAACGCGAAGAACCUUACCAAAUCUUGACAUCCUUUGACAACUCUAGAGAUAGAGCCUUCCCCUUCGGGGGACAAAGUGACAGGUGGUGCAUGGUUGUCGUCAGCUCGUGUCGUGAGAUGUUGGGUUAAGUCCCGCAACGAGCGCAACCCUUAAGCUUAGUUGCCAUCAUUAAGUUGGGCACUCUAAGUUGACUGCCGGUGACAAACCGGAGGAAGGUGGGGAUGACGUCAAAUCAUCAUGCCCCUUAUGAUUUGGGCUACACACGUGCUACAAUGGACAAUACAAAGGGCAGCGAAACCGCGAGGUCAAGCAAAUCCCAUAAAGUUGUUCUCAGUUCGGAUUGUAGUCUGCAACUCGACUACAUGAAGCUGGAAUCGCUAGUAAUCGUAGAUCAGCAUGCUACGGUGAAUACGUUCCCGGGUCU